CCUACGGGAGGCAGCAGUGGGGAAUAUUGCACAAUGGGGGAAACCCUGAUGCAGCGACGCCGCGUGAGGGAAGAAGUAUUUCGGUACGUAAAGCUCUAUCAGCAGGGAAGAAAAUGACGGUACCUGACUAAGAAGCCCCGGCUAACUACGUGCCAGCAGCCGCGGUAAUACGUAGGGGGCAAGCGUUAUCCGGAUUUACUGGGUGUAAAGGGAGCGUAGGCGGCAGCGCAAGUCUGGAGUGAAAUCCCAUGGCUUAACCAUGGAACUGCUUUGGAAACUGUGCAGCGAGAGUGCAGGAGAGGUAAGCGGAAUUCCUAGUGUAGCGGUGAAAUGCGUAGAUAUUAGGAGGAACACCAGUGGCGAAGGCGGCUUACUGGACUGUAACUGACGUUGAGGCUCGAAAGCGUGGGGAGCAAACAGGAUUAGAUACCCGAGUAGUC
rnacentral:rRNA from 1 species